GACGAACGCUGGCGGCGUGCUUAACACAUGCAAGUCGAACGGAAAGGCCUGCCUUCCCUUGUGGAUUGCGGGUACUCGAGUGGCGAACGGGUGAGUAACACGUGAGUGAUCUGCCCCCAACUUGGGUAUAAGCCUGGGAAACUGGGUCUAAUUCCCGAUAGGACUGCAGGGUGGUGCCUGUGGUGGAAAACGAUUUUCUAGUGGUUGGGGAUAAGCUCGCGGCCUAUCAGCUUGUUGGUGGGGUAAUGGCCUACCAAGGCGGCGACGGGUAGCCGGCCUGAGAGGGUGGACGGCUACAUUGGGACUGAGAUACGGCCCAGACUCCUACGGGAGGCAGCAGUGGGGAAUAUUGCACAAUGGGCGGAAGCCUGAUGCAGCGACGCCGCGUGGGGGAUGACGGCCUUCGGGUUGUAAACUCCUUUCGACCGCGAGGAAGCCACCUGGUUGGAAGGGUGGUGACGGUAGUGGUAGAAGAAGCACCGGCUAACUACGUG
rnacentral:rRNA from 1 species